UACGUAGGAUGCAAGCGUUGUCCGGAAUUAUUGGGCGUAAAGAGCGCGCAGGCGGUCUGCCAAGUCAGAUGUGAAAUAUCCCGGCUUAACCGGGAGGGGUCAUUUGAAACUGGUAGACUAGAGUACAGCAGAGGAUAGUGGAAUUCCCGGUGUAGUGGUGAAAUUCGUAGAUAUUGGGAAGAACACCGGUGGCGAAGGCGGCGCUCUGGACCGAGACUGACGCUGAGGCGCGAAAGCGUGGGGAGCAAACAGG
rnacentral:rRNA from 1 species